rnacentral:lncRNA from 1 species
AAAGUCAUUUAAACAGGCACUUAAUUUACACAAGAUGUUUAUUAAUUUUUUAGGUUGUUCAAAUAAUUUUCAGUAUUAAGGACAUUCCAGUGAUUGAAGACGUACAUUUGAAUUUCUGGUCCUGAAUCACGAUGCUCCACAUUAAUCCACUGUCCACCUGGCAUAAUCCAAGCCAUGGCAGAAAUUAAAACCAACACAGGUGAUGAACAGAUUUCCUGGGGCAGCCAGUAUGUAUUGGGGUACUGAAUGUGGAGUUGAGAUGGAGCACAGAGUCGACACUGGGUCAGAUGUCAAUAUUCAAGUCCUCUACUUUGAGUGGUUCACGGUUGAUUUGGAGCACUCUAACAAGCUCUUGAUGCCACCAGAAGUACUUCAGGACAAGAGGCCAAAUCACCUCCUCUAUUAGACUUGCAUGAACCUCUCUGCCUAUUCAAGCAUGGUUUCCUCCAGCAAAGAAAAGGAAGAUAAGGAAACCUUACGUGAAGAAACUACAUUAGUGUUGCAGUGAAGCUAUGACACCAGCUGCUGUUUGCCAGCAUAGUGAAUAGCAGGUAAGGAAAAGAAAUACUUAAGGUAAAAGACUGUUUUAGAUGUCUGUUAGCUACAGGGAAAGCACUGGAACUGAAGGACAUCACUAG